UUUUUUGGCGGCUUGAGCGGGAGGCUCACGCCCUGCCGGUUCUCGCAAGGGCUUCCCGGUCUUCCAACCCGUUCGAGCUGCCGCCCUC
rnacentral:antisense_RNA from 1 species